UAUUAGAUUCUGCUGGGGUUUAUUUGUUCAUACAAUUUUUCUCUUUUCCCUGUUCAUCGAGGUUCUUCUUCUUUUUGGUGAUUUGAAUUUAUAUUUGGGCUUAUAUAUGCGUAUAUUGAUUGAUUUAGUUUUUUCUUGAAGGGUGCAAACGGGGUUGACAACUCCUACUUUGAUUGAGUAGUUGGUUGAUCUCUGUACGAACAGGUUAGACACUAUUACUUUAGUUCUUGUUUUUUUUUUUUGUUUGAUUUUUAUCGAUCUGAGUAGUUGGAUCAAUUGAGAAAUCCUUGUUCUGUUUUGAAUUGCAUUUGAGGCCUUUAUAAUUAAACACGUCUAAGCUUUUGGUAUCUGAUGCACAUACAUAUAUAGUUGAGUUUGCUGCAUCUAUCUAGAUUGUCUUCUUCUAGCUUUUAGAACAAAUUUCCCGAAUUUCUUGUAUCGAUUCAAAUAAAAAUUGAAUCAGCAAGAAUCACAGUCAGGGACUAAUCAAAUUGGAGUGUAUUCAUGUUUUGUGUUUUGGACUGUUUGAUCUUAUUUUGUUUUCGGGAUUGUUUUGGGUGGCUAACUAUUAUCCAGUAAUGACUGUUAUGAAACUAGUUCAGAUCUAAAUGGGUUUACAGACAUGCUAAUCCUAUCAUGAUGUAUUUAUUUAUUUUUUCUAUAUGCUGGAUUCUUCUUGCUUUGUUUUGAACUAAAUAUAUAAAGGCUCACCAGUCAAUGACUUUGUUUUGUUGUUGUUCUCGAAAUGUGUUGCUUGUAGCUUCAUAAACAUCAUGAUCAAUACAUAAUUAUCAAGAUGCAAUGUUCUCUUGCACUCUCACUUUCUUUUCUCUUCAUAUCAAAUGCAUUGAUAGUAUCUUCAUUGAUAGUAUCGCACUAGCAUAAGUCUGUCAUUUCUUAGUAUGUCCAUUAGUAUAAGUCUGUUCUUUUUUGGCAAAGAUGGGAAGGAAAAAGAUCACUAAUGACAACACUACUGAGAUGACCAACCUUGAAAAUGGGCAAGGUGGAUCCAAAACUGCUACCUGGAAUCCUCAAAGUGUAGCAAUUUUUGUGACUUGUGUAUCAAAGAGG
rnacentral:lncRNA from 1 species